CCUACGGGCGGCAGCAGUGAGGAAUAUUGGUCAAUGGACGCGAGCCUGAACCAGCCAAGUAGCGUGAAGGAUGACUGCCCUACGGGUUGUAAACUUCUUUUAUAAAGGAAUAAAGUGAGGCACGUGUGGGAUUUUGUAUGUACUAUAUGAAUAAGGAUCGGCUAACUCCGUGCCAGCAGCCGCGGUAAUACGGAGGAUCCGAGCGUUAUCCGGAUUUAUUGGGUUUAAAGGGAGUGUAGGUGGGUUGUUAAGUCAGUUGUGAAAGUUUGCGGCUCAACCGUAAAAUUGCACUUGAUACUGGCAGUCUUUAGUACAGUUGAGCUAGGCGGAAUUCGUGUUGUAGCGGU
rnacentral:rRNA from 1 species